rnacentral:rRNA from 1 species
AUACAUAGGGGGCAAGCGUUAUCCGGAAUUAUUGGGCGUAAAGAGUGCGUAGGCGGUUUAUUAAGUCUGACGUGAAAUACCACGGCUUAACUGUGGAGGGUCGUUGGAAACUGGUAAACUUGAGUACGGUAGAGGUAAGUGGAAUUCCAAGUGGAGCGGUGGAAUGCGUAGAUAUUUGGAGGAACACCAGUGGCGAAGGCGGCUUACUGGGCCGGAACUGACGCUGAUGCACGAAAGCGUGGGGAGCAAACAGGAUUAGAUACCCUGGUAGUCCACGCCGUAAACGAUGAGCACUAAGUGUCGGAUGCAAAUUCGGCGCUGCAGUUAACACAAUAAGUGCUCCGCCUGGGGAGUACGGUCGCAAGACUGAA